rnacentral:rRNA from 1 species
GACGAACGCUGGCGGCGUGCUUAACACAUGCAAGUCGAACGGAAAGGCCCUGCUUUUGUGGGGUGCUCGAGUGGCGAACGGGUGAGUAACACGUGAGUAACCUGCCCUUGACUUUGGGAUAACUUCAGGAAACUGGGGCUAAUACCGGAUAGGAGCUCCUGCUGCAUGGUGGGGGUUGGAAAGUUUCGGCGGUUGGGGAUGGACUCGCGGCUUAUCGGCUUGUUGGUGGGGUAGUGGCUUACCAAGGCUUUGACGGGUAGCCGGCCUGAGAGGGUGACCGGCCACAUUGGGACUGAGAUACGGCCCAGACUCCUACGGGAGGCAGCAGUGGGGAAUAUUGCACAAUGGGCGGAAGCCUGAUGCAGCAACGCCGCGUGCGGGAUGACGGCCUUCGGGUUGUAAACCGCUUUCGCCUGUGACGAAGCGUGAGUGACGGUAAUGGGUAAAAAAGCACCGGCUAACUACGUG